GUUGAUCAACAUCUCUUCACCAUUGGUGUGUUUUCUCUGAAGCUAACAGUAUGAUAAAAGAACACAGGUACAAGAUGUGCAUGUUAGCAAAGAUCUAAAAGCUAGAGUCAUGGUGUGUACACGGUGUUAUGAUGGGUAACCAGGCGCAUAUAUUUGCUCGAUGGCAACCUUAUCUGCAUUUCCCGGUGUAAGCAGUAUAAAUAUGACCAAGUGAUCUCAUGAGGAAAACCAGUCCCCCACCCCACUCCCCAAUCAUUUCCUAGGCGUGUCUCUCAAUUAUGCUCAUGACACGAAGCCAACAGAGAUGACACCAAAUAUGGGGACAUUGCUUGCUUUUCGACACUGAGGCAAUCCCAUGAGUCAAAGACAAGGUUAUAGAUCUCUGGUUAAUUAAGAAUGGGCUUCCUCUGAAAGACAAAGUCAAAAUAAACAAAUCUGCAUAGUUGGCUCAUGUCUCAAGCAUUAAGGAGAUUGGCUAAGAAAUUGUAUAAAAAGGUCUCCUGGGUGGUAGCUUGACACUCGUAGCAACCUUGCUUCAAUUUCCAGAGAAUCUCUCUGAGAACCAGAUUUUCCCUCGCACAAGAUGUGUUCCCGCCAGGACAAAGACAAAGCCUACAAGCAAGAGAAAGAAGAGAAGCCCUCCGGCUGCGGCCGGCAGAAUUCGGGCAAUGAAAGCAGAGGUUGUGGCUCCGGGCGGCAGAACAGCGGGUCCUCCUGCGGGAAGCCCCAGAAGCCAAAGCCGUCACAGGAUCAGCAGCAACAGCAACAGCAACAACAGGUCUGCAAAGUCCCAGACCAGAAGCAGAAAUAGCUGCGAGAAGAAUGCCUAGAGAGGCUCCGUGCCAUCCGAAGCGAGACUGUCCCCCUCGCUCCUCUUUCUGUUCGAUCCAAAAAAUCCAAAAUCCUGCAAUGGAGAUCUCUCCAACCAACGAGGUCCAACAUCACAUCAUGGACAUCCCUUGGCUACUGCUUCUUCUACCUGAUGUCUUGAAAUGAGAGAGAAGAUACAUCUUCACCUUGACCAAUAUCAGUGUUACAUCCGUAUAGUCCCCUCUUUUGAUCCAUCUAUAGGCAUGGAUUAGUCAAUAAUAAAGCACAUCUCGAAAA